CCUACGGGAGGCAGCAGUGGGGAAUUUUCCGCAAUGGGCGAAAGCCUGACGGAGCAACGCCGCGUGAGGGAUGAAGGCCUCUGGGCUGUAAACCUCUUUUAUCAAGGAAGAAGAUCUGACGGUACUUGAUGAAUAAGCCACGGCUAAUUCCGUGCCAGCAGCCGCGGUAAUACGGGAGUGGCAAGCGUUAUCCGGAAUUAUUGGGCGUAAAGCGUCCGCAGGCGGCCCUUCAAGUCUGCUGUUAAAAAGUGGAGCUUAACUCCAUCAUGGCAGUGGAAACUGUUGGGCUUGAGUGUGGUAGGGGCAGAGGGAAUUCCCGGUGUAGCGGUGAAAUGCGUAGAUAUCGGGAAGAACACCAGUGGCGAAGGCGCUCUGCUGGGCCAUCACUGACGCUCAUGGACGAAAGCCAGGGGAGCGAAAGGGAUUAGAUACCCCUGUAGUCCUGGCCGUAAACGAUGAACACUAGGUGUCGGGGGAAUCGACCCCCUCGGUGUCGUAGCCAACGCGUUAAGUGUUCCGCCUGGGGAGUACGCACGCAAGUGUGAAACUCAAAGGAAUUGACGGA
rnacentral:rRNA from 1 species